UAUUGGCUGCCUCCAGCUGCUACCACGCAUACAUAACCACUCGGUUCCUCUUCCUCUGCUCUCUCUUAUCCUCUGUGUGCCCAUGGCCAUCGAGCCAUGGCAGGAGUACGUCAUGGGUUGAGUCCUGCAACCAUAUAUAGAAGUUAAAGUAAUUAGGCCAACCCGGCAUGUCUAUUUGCUUUGAGAACCAGAAAAUCUCUGUAACCCUUAAUGAUCAGAUGCGUGUGUGUAUAGCAAACAAUCUUGCUGUGGUGAAGACUGUAAGCAUAGUCUGAAGGCAUUCGAAGUAAAAAAGUAAACUUGUUACCAACUUUAGACGUUGAUUGCCUUAUUUAUGUUUUAUGUGUGAUAACUGAUUAGAUAUGAUGCAAAAUACUGGAAGUUCGCUAGGAUGCUACUUUCAUACCAUCCUGCUGACUGAUUAGAUUUGUUGUUAAAUUGGAGAGAAACAAAGAUUGCAACCUAUGUCUGGAAGAUGGUAAAUCUUAUAUUUUUCUUCAGCUUUUGAUCCCUUAGAUUUUACCUUGUUUUGAUGUUUGAAUUCUGUCGUGAUUUGGUGCUUUAGCUGGUGAUAUGACUCUGUAGUUGUGUGCUUGCAGCCCGGAGCAGAAGCUGGUUCAUGAGUGCCAGGCGGUUGACCAGGUGGUGCUCACCAACGCCUACCGCUCCUAAUGUCUGCCAAGAGCUUAUCCACAUGCAAGGCAGUCCGGCGUCCCGCCCCCCAAGAUGCGGGUAUGCAUGCUCGGUGAUGCCAAGCAUGUGGGGGAAGUAUGUGCCAUUUACUGCUGCAUCACAACCUUCAUGUCUGGCUAGUGGCUACUAUGGCGCUUGAUGGACUACCUCCUCAGCCACUACCUUGGUUUCGUACACAGCAUGACGACAAUGGUUUUGCUGCAACCGUGCCAGUGGUGACUGCCGCUUGGUUCUGGUGAGUCCCUGGUCUCCCCUCUCUCUCCAUGUGCUUUGAGAUGGUCCAGCCAUGGAGUCGGUUGUGAUACUGGCCAUUGAGCCAAUGAUUUAGGGUUCGGUUAUGUGGUUAUGCAACGUGUGGUAAUUUGCGUCCGAGGCAUUUCAGUGAUGCCACUCUUUUUCACGUUGAAGAUCUGAUGCAUCCCCACCAUGGAUGUCUUUUGUACUAGCAAUUUCUUUCUUUCAAAAAAUCUUCGUUUUGGGCUUUAAUGUGCGAGAGAUGAGAUUAUGAAUGCAAUUAAUUUCAUUAUUGGUUUGAUUGGCUGAUAUGAUGGCCCAAAUACUGAGCUGAAUCUGAUGAUCCUCUUGUUUUCACAAAAAGGCAUCUGUUUUUGUUUGCAUCUUAAUUUCAUUAUUUUCCCGGCUUUGUAUUUGGUAGAGUUAUUUCAUUUAUCAAUGAAUGGUUAUUUUCUUGUUCAGUAUACGAUGAUCAAUUGUGACACCCGAAUAAUUAAGCUAAAGUAAGCACACACUAAUGGUGCCAUGUCAUCGCAAUUAAUUUUCUAAAAAUCACUUUGA